rnacentral:rRNA from 1 species
UACGGAGGGUGCGAGCGUUGUCCGGAAUCACUGGGCGUAAAGGGCGCGUAGGCGGCUGGGGAAGUCGGUGGUGAAAGCUCGUGGCUCAACUACGAGUCGGCCAACGAUACUCCUCGGCUCGAGCACUGUAGAGGCAGGUGGAAUUCCGGGUGUAGCGGUGGAAUGCGUAGGAGAUCCGGAAGAACACCGGUGGCGAAGGCGGCCUGCUGGGCAGUGAGCUGACGGCUGAGGCGCGACAGCGUGGGGAGCAAACAGG